rnacentral:rRNA from 1 species
UACGUAGGGUGCGAGCGUUGUCCGGAAUUAUUGGGCGUAAAGAGCUCGUAGGCGGUUCGUCGCGUCGGCUGUGAAAACCUGAGGCUCAACCUCAGGCCUGCAGUCGAUACGGGCGGACUUGAGUACUGCAGGGGAGACUGGAAUUCCUGGUGUAGCGGUGAAAUGCGCAGGUAUCAGGAGGAACACCGGUGGCGAAGGCGGGUCUCUGGGCAGUAACUGACGCUGAGGAGCGAAAGCGUGGGGAGCGAACAGG